UUAGUGGCGGACGGGUGAGUAACGCGUGGAUAACCUGCCGUAUACAGGGGGAUAACACUUAGAAAUAGGUGCUAAUACCGCAUAAGCGCACGGUUCCGCAUGGAACAGUGUGAAAAACUCCGGUGGUAUACGAUGGAUCCGCGUCUGAUUAGCCAGUUGGUGGGGUAACGGCCCACCAAAGCGACGAUCAGUAGCCGGCCGUGAGAGGGUGAACGGCCCACAUUGGGACUGAGACACGGCCCAAACUCCUACGGGAGGCAGCAG
rnacentral:rRNA from 1 species